rnacentral:rRNA from 1 species
AGCAGCCGCGGUAAUUCCAGCUCCAAUAGCGUAUAUUAAAGUUGUUGCAGCUAAAAAGCUCGUAGUUGAAUUUCGGGGUCAGUAAGUUGGUCGUGCCUACGGUAUGUACUGGCUUUACUGAUUCCUCCUUCUUGAAGAACUGCAAUGCCAUUAAUUUGGUGUUGCAGGGAAUCAGGACUGUUACUUUGAAAAAAUUAGAGUGUUUAAAGCAGGCUUACGCUUGAAUACAUUAGCAUGGAAUAAUGAAAUAGGACGUUGAUCCUAUUUUGUUGGUUUCUAGGGUUGACGUAAUGAUUAAUAGGGAUAGUUGGGGGCAUUAGUAUUCAAUUGUCAGAGGUGAAAUUCUUGGAUUUAUUGAAGACUAACUACUGCGAAAGCAUUUGCCAAGGAUGUUUUCAUUAAUCAAGACGAAAGUUAGGGAUCGAAGACGAUCAGAUACCGUCGUAGUCUUAACCAUAAACUAUGCCGACUAGGGAUCGGAUGAUGUUAAUUUUUANGACUCAUUCGGCGUCUUACGGGA